UACGUAGGGGGCAAGCGUUGUCCGGAAUCAUUGGGCGUAAAGCGCGCGUAGGCGGCUCGAUCAGUCUGCUGUAAAAGCCACAGGCUCAACCUGUGAACGCCGCUGGAAACUGUCUGGCUAGAGUCCGGGAGGGGCGAGUGGAAUUCCUGGUGUAGCGGUGAAAUGCGCAGAUAUCAGGAGGAACACCAAUGGCGAAGGCAGCUCGCUGGAACGGUACUGACGCUGAGGAGCGAGAGCGUGGGGAGCGAACAGG
rnacentral:rRNA from 1 species